GGCGAACGGGUGAGUAACACGUGAGUAACCUGCCCUUGACUCUGGGAUAAGCCUGGGAAACCGGGUCUAAUACUGGAUACGACCUUCUGGCGCAUGCCAUGUUGGUGGAAAGCUUUUGUGGUUUUGGAUGGACUCGCGGCCUAUCAGCUUGUUGGUGGGGUAAUGGCCUACCAAGGCGACGACGGGUAGCCGGCCUGAGAGGGUGACCGGCCACACUGGGACUGAGACACGGCCCUAGACUCCUACGGGAGGCAGCAGUGGGGAAUAUUGCGCAAUGGCGGAAGCCUGACGCAGCGACGCCGCGUGGGGGAUGACGGCCUUCGGGUUGUAAACCUCUUUCGACCUCGACGAAGCUUUCGGGUGACGGUAGGGGUAGAAGAAGCACCGGCCAACUACGUGCCAGCCGCCUCGG
rnacentral:rRNA from 1 species